rnacentral:rRNA from 1 species
GACGAACGCUGGCGGCGUGCUUAACACAUGCAAGUCGAACGGAAAGGCCCUGCUUUUGUGGGGUGCUCGAGUGGCGAACGGGUGAGUAACACGUGAGUAACCUGCCCUUGACUUUGGGAUAACUUCAGGAAACUGGGGCUAAUACCGGAUAGGAGCUCCUGCUGCAUGGUGGGGGUUGGAAAGUUUCGGCGGUUGGGGAUGGACUCGCGGCUUAUCAGCUUGUUGGUGGGGUAGUUGCUUACCAAGGCUUUGACGGGUAGCCGGCCUGAGAGGGUGACCGGCCACAUUGGGACUGAGAUACGGACCAGACUCCUACGGGAGGCAGCAGUGGGGAAUAUUGCACAAUGGGCGGACGCCUGAUGCAGCAACGCCGCGUGCGGGAUGACGGCCUUCGGGUUGUAAACCGCUUUCGCAUGUGACGAAGAGUGAGUGACGGUAAUGGGUAAAGAAGCACCGGCUAACUACGUG